rnacentral:rRNA from 1 species
UACGUAGGGGGCAAGCGUUGUCCGGAUUUAUUGGGCGUAAAGAGCGUGUAGGCGGCUUGGUAGGUCCGCUGUGAAAACUCGAGGCUCAACCUCGAGAUGUCGGCGGAAACCGCUUGGCUAGAGUCCGGAAGAGGAGAGUGGAAUUCCCGGUGUAGCGGUGAAAUGCGCAGAUAUCAGGAAGAACACCUAUGGCGAAGGCAGCUCUCUGGGACGGUACUGACGCUGAGACGCGAAAGCGUGGGGAGCGAACAGG